rnacentral:piRNA from 2 species
UGCAAGGGAGGAAACAGACUGGGCUU